UUGACUGGGGCGGUCUCCUCCUAAAGAGUAACGGAGGAGCACGAAGGUUGGCUAAUCCUGGUCGGACAUCAGGAGGUUAGUGCAAUGGCAUAAGCCAGCUUGACUGCGAGCGUGACGGCGCGAGCAGGUGCGAAAGCAGGUCAUAGUGAUCCGGUGGUUCUGAAUGGAAGGGCCAUCGCUCAACGGAUAAAAGGUACUCCGGGGAUAACAGGCUGAUACCGCCCAAGAGUUCAUAUCGACGGCGGUGUUUGGCACCUCGAUGUCGGCUCAUCACAUCCUGGGGCUGAAGUAGGUCCCAAGGGUAUGGCUGUUCGCCAUUUAAAGUGGUACGCGAGCUGGGUUUAGAACGUCGUGAGACAGUUCGGUCCCUAUCUGCCGUGGGCGCUGGAGAACUGAGGGGGGCUGCUCCUAGUACGAGAGGACCGGAGUGGACGCAUCACUGGUGUUCGGGUUGUCAUGCCAAUGGCACUGCCCGGUAGCUAAAUGCGGAAGAGAUAAGUGCUGAAAGCAUCUAAGCACGAAACUUGCCCCGAGAUGAGUUCUCCCUGAGACUUUAAGUCUCCUGAAGGAACGUUGAAGACGACGACGUUGAUAGGCCGGGUGUGUAAGCGCAGCGAUGCGUUGAGCUAACCGGUACUAAUGAACCGUGAGGCUUAACCUUACAACGCCGAAGGUGUUU
rnacentral:rRNA from 2 species